rnacentral:rRNA from 1 species
UCGAGAAUAUUUGGCAAUGGGCGAAAGCCUGACCAUGCGACGCCGCGUGCUGGACGAAGUCCUUCGGGACGUAAACAGCUUUUACGCGUGAAGAAGUCAUUGACAUUAGCGCGAGAAUAAGGGGCUCCUAACUCUGUGCCAGCAGGAGCGGUAAUACAGAGGCCCCGAGCAUUACCCGGAAUCACUGGGCGUAAAGGGUGUGUAGGCGGUGUAGUUAGUCUUUCGUAAAAGCACUGGGGCUUAACCCCGGUAAUGCGGGAGAAACGGCUAUACUCGAGGAUGCGAGAGGUAAAGGGAACUCAUGGUGUAGGGGUGAAAUCCGUUGAUAUCAUGGGGAACACCAAAUGCGAAGGCACUUUACUGGCGCACUCCUGACGCUGAAACACGAAAGCGUGGGAAUCGAACGGGAUUAGAUACCCGUGUAGUCC